GACGAACGCUGGCGGCGUGCUUAACACAUGCAAGUCGAACGGAAAGGCCCAGCUUUUGUGGGGUGCUCGAGUGGCGAACGGGUGUGUAACACGUGAGUAACCUGCCCUUGACUUUGGGAUAACUUCAGGAAACUGGGGCUAAUACCGGAUAGGAGCUCCUGCUGCAUGGUGGGGGUUGGAAAGUUUCGGCGGUUGGGGAUGGACUCGCGGCUUAUCAGCUUGUUGGUGGGGUAGUGGCUGACCAAGGCUUUGACGGGUAGCCGGCCGGAGAGGGUGACCGGCCACAGUGGGACUGAGAUACGGCACAGACGCCUACGGGAGGCAGGAGUAGGGAAUAUUGCACAAUGGGCGGAAGCCUGAUGCAGCAAGGCCGCGUGCGGGAUGACGGCCUUCGGGUUGUAAACCGCUUUCGCCGGUGACGAUGCGUGACUGACGGUAAUGGAUAAAGAAGCACCGGCUAACUACGUG
rnacentral:rRNA from 1 species